rnacentral:rRNA from 1 species
GACGAACGCUGGCGGCGUGCUUAACACAUGCAAGUCGAACGGAAAGGCCCGGCUUUUGUGGGGUGCUCGAGUGGCGAACGGGUGAGUAACACGUGAGUAACCUGCCCUUGACUUUGGGAUAACUUCAGGAAACUGGGGCUAAUACCGGAUAGGAGCUCCUGCGGCAUGGUGGGGGUGGGAAAGUUUCGGCGGUUGGGGAUGGACUCGCGGCUUAUCAGCUUGUUGGUGGGGUAGUGGCUUACCAAGGCUUUGACGGGUAGCCGGCCUGAGAGGGUGACCGGCCACAUUGGGACUGAGAUACGGCCCAGACUCCUACGGGAGGCAGCAGUGGGGAAUAUUGCACAAUGGGCGGAAGCCUGAUGCAGCAACGCCGCGUGCGGGAUGACGGCCUUCGGGUUGUAAACCGCUUUCGCCUGUGACGAAGCGUGAGUGACGGUAAUGGGUAAAGAAGCACCGGCUAACUACGUG